ACAGGGCCAUAUCGAAGCUGUAAUACUUUUUUAACACUAAGUAUCAUAGUCAAACAUUGGCCAAUAGUAAAUAAGUACUUUGAUACGGUCACAGGCUGAAUAAAAUAUUCUUUCUGUAUUACCAAAAAAGCAUACAUUU